rnacentral:antisense_RNA from 2 species
CUUGAACGAGCCGAGCCACAGCGGUCGUUCCGCUGUCCGGGACCGGCCGUAGGUGGCCAUCAGCGCGUUCGCCUC